rnacentral:sRNA from 1 species
AGUAUGAGGAUGAUCUGGUUGUGGCAUCUGUUCCCUAAACCUGCCAGGAUGAUUUAGGCUGAUCUGGGUGGCUAGGAGAGUGUCCCCUUUCUCCCUCACCACUCUGCGAGCAUCUCUCCAAAGCUGCAUGCUCCGUCAAAGAGAAAAACUUUCCCCAAAAGAGUAGAAUCAUUCCUUCAUUAAGAAUGUAUGAGUAGGGGCUGGGAAGGUGGCUCAGUGGUAGAGUGCUUGCCUUGCAUGCCUGAGGCCCUGGGUUCGAUUCCUCAGCACCACAUAAGCAAAAAAGAAAAAAAGCCAGAAGUGGCACUGUGGCUCAAGU